CCUACGGGAGGCAGCAAUUAGGAAUCUUGCACAAUGGGCGAAAGCCUGAUGCAGCGACGCCGCGUGAAGGAUGAAGGUUCUCGGAUCGUAAACUUCUUUUAAGUGGGAAGAAAUUUGACGGUACCACUUGAAUAAGCCCCGGCUAACUACGUGCCAGCAGCCGCGGUAAUACGUAGGGGGCGAGCGUUGUCCGAAGUUACUGGGCGUAAAGCGCGCGUAGGCGGUUUCUUAAGUCUGGGGUGAAAGGUUCAACGCUCAACGUGAACAGUGCCUUGGAUACUGGGAGACUUGAGUUAGGGAGAGGGUAGUAGAAUUCCUGGUGUAGCGGUGAAAUGCGUAGAUAUCAGGAGGAAUACCAAUGGCGAAGGCAGCUACCUGGCCUAUAACUGACGCUGAGGUGCGAAAGCGUGGGGAGCAAACGGGAUUAGAUACCCCCGGGUAGUCCACGCCCUAAACGAUGAGUGCUAGAUAGUAGUAGGUAGUACGUACCCGUCCUUCGUGUCGUCGCUACGCAUAAGCACUCCGCCGUCGGGUAGGUACGGCCGGCCGAGGUUAGUAACGUACGAAAGGAAAGUUAGACGGCGUGAAGACGUGCCGACGGCGACCGACGAGGGGAGGUUAGG
rnacentral:rRNA from 1 species